GUGCCAGCAGCCGCGGUAAUACAGAGGAUGCAAGCGUUAUCCGGAUUUAUUGGGCGUAAAGAGCUCGUAGGCGGUUCAACAAGUCGGUCGUAAAAGUUUAGGGCUCAACUCUAAAAUGUCGAUCGAUACUGUUGUGACUAGGAUACGGUAGAGGUGAAUGGAAUUCCGAGUGUAGCGGUGAAAUGCGUAGAUAUUCGGAGGAACACCAAUUGCGAAGGCAGUUCACUGGACCGUGAUCGACGCUGAGGAGCGAAAGCUAGGGGAGCGAACAGGAUUCGAUA
rnacentral:rRNA from 1 species